rnacentral:rRNA from 1 species
GACGAACGCUGGCGGUGUGCUUAACACAUGCAAGUCGAACGGGCCUGUCUUCUUUUUUGGGGGUGGGUUGAGUGGCGAACGGGUGAGUAUCACGUGAGUAACCUGCCCUUCGGUCCUGGAUAACCGCUUGAAAGGGCGGCUAAUACGGGGUGGUCCGGUUGGUCCGCAUGGGCUGGUCGGGAUAGAUUCACUGUUUUUGGUGUUUCGGCGGGGGAUGGGCUCGCGGCCUAUCAGCUUGUUGGUGGGGUGAUGGCCUACCAAGGCGGUGACGGGUAGCCGGCCUGAGAGGGUGGGCGGCCACACUGGGACUGAGAUACGGCCCAGACUCCUGCGGGAGGCAGCAGUGGGGGGUAUUGCACAAUGGGCGGAAGCCUGAUGCAGCGACGUCGCGUGAGGGAUGGAGGCCUUCGGGUUGUGAACCUCUGUUUCCGGUGGUGAAGGCCCUGUCCGUGUGGUGGGGUUGACGGUAGCCGGGGAUGAAGCGCCGGCUAACUACGUG